GGAAAGGCAAAAGGAAGAGCUGGUGGGAGAGGGAUACCUGUGCAUUGUGCUGAGUGAUUUCUCAUAAUGUUACUGGCCACAAGGUGUCUAUCUCUUAAUAAGCAGGAUGUGUAGCUUCGAGAAUGUGUCUGCAGCCACCUCCAGCCCCAGGGAAUCAGAAAAGUUGUUUAAAAAUUCUGUAGGUGGCUUGAGGCUCUGUCUAGAGGCUUAGGGAGUGCGUGAUCUAUAAUACUCAUCUAAUGACUAAGCUACAGCAUCACAAGGCUCACAGAUGACUAAUAAUUAUUCUCAUUCUACAGUGCACAGUUUGGUUUGCAAAACAAAGCAAGUGAGGCCUCUGCCCUUUUGUCCUGUGACUCACUCCUGUAAAAUAUUCAGUGGCAAGGCUGAGAGAGCACAAGACAUGCGGGUCAGCACUCCUGCAUCUUCUGCCUUUCUUUCUCCCACAGUCCCAGGCUUCUUGGGGCUGCAAGUCCAUUUUUAAUGCUUGAGCCGACCGUGUUCUGUGUGGUGAUUAAGACCAGACUUUGGAUUUUAACAUGGAGGUUCCACCCCGGUGGAGAGAGUGAAAAAAAAGUUAGAGUUGCCAUGGAAACCAAUGGAUUUGAAGUGCUUAGUACACUGCAUCGGUACAGAUGGAGUUCAAGAAAUGAGUGAAUUGAGAUUCUCUUGGUGUGUUCAUCCUCCUGAAACAGGUUUUCUACAUCUUCAUGGAGGAAGGUGUUAGUUCUUAAGCACCAACCUCUGAAGAGUGAUCCCUAAACUUUGGCUGGUAGAUGAUCACUGAGCAUUUCUGACUCGAUGGAGCAAAGGAGCUGGGGUUCUUGAAAAUACCAGAUGCCUGGGCAGUGUUUGCAUGUAUUGGUUUGGCUGGCUUGUGACUACUCAGAUAACCAAGGGGUGAAUAUUACUGAGCAUAAUGUAGGUAGAAUUGAUGGCCUUGCAUGCUGACCUCAGAACACUGAUCUUUAGGAACUGUGAUGAAGGAAGCCCUAAACCCUGGAUGGGACAGGUUAUGGGCAACUUAAGCACAGUGAAGGCCAGAGGGCCAAUCCCCAAAUGUUGGGGACUAGAAAGUGUGAUGGGUUAUUUGUCAACAGGAGAGCGGAUAGGGGACCCCAGGGUAAUUAAUGACUGCUAUUGGGCUUCCUGGCACUCUGUCAUUGGGAAUCACAGGUAGUUUUUACUCGAUUUAGACAAAUGAAACGAUGCAGCAUUUCUUGGGAGCCAGUGUGGAAUAAAUUCUCACUGAGUACAUUGAUAAGCAACAAGUAUGGUCAGGCUUCAUCUGUAGUAUAUGACGAAUGAGAGUCGAAAUUGUUCUCAUUCCCUCUGGGUGAGAGGCAGAGUCUGAGACACACAAUUUAUUAAUUAUAGAGUGUGAAUCCUGGAGUCAAGGCAAGAGCAGAGUUGUUGGUUCCUUCAGACCAUCUUGGGCCCGGAAGGCAAGUUACUAAACCCUUCUGACGGUGUUUCUUUACCUGUAAAGUACAGAUAGGAGGAGAAUCUCUCACAGAGUGUUGUUGGUCAUAAGAGGUAAAUGAUAGAAUCAUAUCUGGCUUGCAUAAUCAAUCAAUUGGUAGCUGUUAUUACUAAUAGUAUUAUGAUUGCAUGGCAGCUGUUGAAGGAAGCUUUGGCUUCCCUAACAUAGUUGCUGAAGAUCAGUAGGGGGAGGUCAGUAUGCGGGGCCAUAAGCUUUCCCACAUUAUUCUCAGCCAUGUUCACCACAGAGCGAUCUGGGGUGCUUAAGGGCCAAUUAUAUGUUGGCUUAAAAACAUCUUUUGACAAUGGCUAUGCAAUUUCAUGGAGAUGCUCUGAACAUAAGGAGCUCUGCCAUGUUGGGAAACAGCCAAGGAAAAGUUAAGGAGAUAGGACAUUUGGGGAAAAUUUGAAGACAACUGUUUUUCUUUGGAGGUAGUAGAGAACAUAAAGGGGAGUUAAAAUUUUGGAAGAAUGGAAAUAUUGGAACUUCAUUUAUAAUCCUCUUUAGGGACCUAAAUACAUUUUAUUCUUUUAGAAAAAUAAAUAAUUUGUCAUAAAUUGUUCUGUUUAUUUUUUCCCUUUGGAGAUCCAAAGUACUGGCAGUGGAUAAGGACAGAAACCACUAAACAUUUAGAGCAGUGUUUUCUUUACUGUUUUCCUGUUUUCUUGAGAGGUUAAAACAAAGCAGAACAAAAAUCUUGUUUAGAAACAUCUCUUAGCACAUUUGGUUUUUGGGGGCCCUUAAUCCUGGAGCCCACACAGGAUCAUUUUAUACCUCCUUUCUGUUUUCUCUAUAGUUCAAUUCAAAAUAUUUUCUUUUGAUUAAAUCUAAUAGAAGCUAAUUUAGUUCAUUUCUUAUGAAAUGAGUGGAUGUGACCAGAGUCUUAGUCAUCAUGGGGACACAAAAGGAACAAGUGGCACAUCUUUGACCCUUGAUAGAUUUAUGGCCUACUUGGGUAGCACUGAGGCUCAGCCAGUGACUCGGCCAGCCACACAGAUGCAGGGGGAGGAAUCCCAAAUGUGGCAUUUUACCACUUCUCCUCUCUAUCUGAUACUCUUUGAUGUUUUCUGACAUUUUUUUCAAAGUGAUUAACAAUCAUCAAAGAAAACUGAGUAACAUAGAAAAAUAUGAAAACCUACUUUUAGGUGAAAGGAAGCAGGUUGCAAAUCUACACACACGUUAUUAGCCUCAUUGUGUAUAUGUGUGUAUGCAGUAAGAUAGGCAAUGUGACUUGUAUCAUCUCAGGUUUGACUUUAAUCCUCACACUAAACAAUAAGUGGUCAAAUAUUCUCAGUUUCUGAAAUGAUGUGCUAAGAUGUCAAUUAAGCCCUUAACACAGGAAAUAUCACAGAGCUCUUUCAACAUUAGCUUGCUCCCCACCUCUACAAAAGGGAUGCUAAGAAUUGUUAGGAGGUUGAAAUACAUGGGAAAGUGCUUUGGAGAGAAUUAUUGGAGUCAAAUACUUCUUCUUUUUUUUUUUUUUUUACUAUACACAAUAUGCACUUGUCAGCCAUUAUCAUAAUGCUUUGUAACAAACAAUAACACAGUCAUAUUAGGUUGUGACAAUAGACAUUUAUUUUUAUGGAUUUUCAGGUCGACUGCAAUUUAGAUGAUCUCACCUGGGCACUUCUGGACAGUUCUACUGCACACUGAUUUCAUCAGGCUUAUUUCUAAAUGCAGGUUGACUUCAGGUCUAUUCCAUGUGUCUCAUCACUCUAGAGCAAGAACAUGGUUUUACAGUAAUAGCAGCAAUACAGAAAUUAGCUAAAAUAUGUAAUGCCUCUUAAAUUGUGAAAUAGAAUUGGCACAAUUGUGCUUCUUCUGUAAUUGAUAGGCCAAAAUAAGUCAUUAGGCCAAGCCCAACAUCACCUGAUGUGGAGAAAUAAACUCUAUCUUAGGUGAAGGAUAUAUUUAUGAAAACAAUUUUACAGAGAAAAGUAACAGUAACGAUAUAUUUCUCUUGUAAUUUAGGUAAUAUAAGCACUAGUACUUGAUCUGACAUUAACACUUUUAAUAGAGGACUGCAUUGGGAAGACACAAUAGUUGUAGAAUUGGGAUCUAAUAUUUACAUGUGUUUCUGGUAAGCUAGAAAUGGAGUCUGUGGAAGGAAGCUACUUGUGGGCUACCUUGUCAAAACUUUCAGAGAAGAGGACUUCCUGGAGAGGUGGUGACCAGAGGAGAUGAUAAGGCCUAAGUGGAGAGAAAGUCAGUGGUGAACAAUAGUCACACAGGGCCAGCUUUGGGGGGGCUCUGAAGUACCAGUUAUUGUUUCUUGUUUCUCUAUAUCAAGUAGGGUUCAAUCAGAGAAAUAGAACUGCCACAAGUGAUGUAGAAUGAGGGUUCAGAUCUUGCACCACUCUGGGAGCUGGUGGAAAGGCCAUGCAAGGCUGGUUUGGCUCUGAGGUCACCACAGACCUGGUGGGGCAGCACUUGAGAGGACAGAUGAACAGGAAGUAAGAAGAGCAGGGCAAAGUGGAACCUACAAUUUUUGGACUGGAAGAUGUACCAGAUCCCCCAACCACUGUCUGUCUUCUACCAGGAUUCGUGGUACAAUGGCCUGGUGUCCAUCACCACAGAGCUGACCAUGCACCUGCCCUCCAGAGAGGGCUGGAGGAGAGGUGGCCCAGUGCUGCUGUGAGCCAACAAACCAGCUGGAAGUUCAGUGACUGUGAGCAGGAGCUGUCACGGUGCCUGGCACCCCACACCAAUCAUGAAGAACAAAGAAACCAAAAUGAGGAGGUCAUUCAGCCUCCCUUGGACACUGUCCACCCCAUCCUUGUCUGAGCCCUCUGGGGGAGGUGGAUACCCACCUGCAAGAGAAGAUGGCCUGCUCUGAGUGCUGCUGUAGGAACUUGAUGCUUUUGUAAUAAUGUGGAAAGAGAAUUCUCAUACUUUGUGGUCCAGAAUCAACCUCCUUCCAGACAAACAACGGGAAUUAUACAAAGACUUAUUAGUGCUCAUGUGAGCAAACUAAUCACACCAUGCACUGUGUCAAAUUCAACUGACCAGAAAAGAAGUGGGAUUUUGUCAUCCUUUGCACUCACUCUAACAAAGCCUGGGUUAUUAUUGUGGGAGCUGAUGAGGAUUAUACAAGAGUGCAAGCUCAAUAACUUGGCUCUCGCAUUAUCCCAUUCCUUGUCACUAGGGAAAAGUAGUCCAAGACUUUGUGGAAACUUGAAUCUUUCUUUUCUACUGUCUGAUGAAAGGAAGUAAGGAAAAAGUUACAAUAGUUUUCUUUAAGAAAGUGGCAAUAUGACUUCAUCUUAUUCCUCACCUUGCAUUCACUCACCAGUUCAGACUAUAUAAAAUGUGUGCCAUUUGCCAGGCCUGUGCUAGGCAACUUUGGGAAGCCAAAAAUGGUGGUGGCAUCAUUUUCAUCAGGAGCAUGUUGUAGGAACAAGAAUGCAUUCUGAGAGCUGGGACUCUGUCUGUCUUAUUCAACAGUGUAUCUCUGUGACCAACAAGAGAAAGCUGGUACUUUGUAGAAGUUUGACAGGCAUUUGUCUUGUGCAGACAUCUGAUACAAUAAACAAACCUGACCUUGAGUGUGUGUAUGUCUGUGGCUGUAUUCCACAAAACAAAGUAAUUAAAAAUUUUAUUAAAACAUGGGGCCCCAUUUCUCUGUUCUCUGCUGGACUGGCAGAAAUGACUAUUCUUAUUCUUUCAUCUCUUGUCUGUUUUUUCUCCUUCGAUGUCACAGCAGAAACCGCAGUGUGCUAUAAACUUACCUCCAUAAUAGAAUGUAGAUGCAUAAAUCAAAACAGCUCCUAACGGGUUGUCUGCAAUAAUAAAUGCUACGGAGGCAACCCGACUGGCAGUGUAAGAGAGAUUAUACAAACCGCUGCCUGGAGAAAACACAGCAUCGUGAAUAAACUCAGCCUUGAAUUAUUUAUAUAUUUUAGCCAUUAUUUUCUCUCCUCAGUCCUGCAAGGCCUGAGAAUGAUUUUCACUGAGAGUCGAGAGUGCCUGGAUUUGACUAUAGAAUACAAAGCCUCACAGUUAGCCUUUGGCCCAGUUUGGGGUGAGAAGGGGUCUGUUCCAUGGGCAGCAGGAGGGGGGCAGUGAAGUGCAGGG
ensembl:lncRNA